CUCAAUGAAAUUUCAAUAGCCGCAAUAGUGCUAAGGUAGCAUAAUCAUUUGUUUUUUAAUUAAAAACCAGAACGAAAGAUUUAACAUUUUUAUUACUCUUUUAUUUAUAAAUUUCCAACUUAUUUUAAAUAUAAAAAAAUAUUCAUAAAAAAAAAAGACGACAAGACCCUAUUGAACUUUACUUUAGUUAAACUGGGGCAGUUAAUCAAAUAUAAUUUUAAUUUCACUACAAAAAAAUCUAAAAAAUUAAAAACACCAAGUUACCAUAGGGAUAACAGCGUAAUAAUUUUCUAUAGAUCUUAUUUAAAAAAUAGUUUGCGACCUCGAUGUUGAAUUAAUAACCUAAUAACUGCAACAAUUUAUAAGGAAGUC
rnacentral:rRNA from 1 species